rnacentral:tRNA from 1 species
CGCCCCUUCUUCCAGCUUGGCCUAGGAUACUACCCUGUCACGGUAGAGACGCGGGUUCAAAUCCCGUAGGGGUGAC